GUGCUCGCUUCAGCAGCACCUAUACUAAAAUUAGAGCCACCCAGAGAAGAUUAGCAAGACCCCUGGACAAGGGAGACACACAAACUCAUGCAGCGUUCCAUAUUUUU